UAGGUGAUGGGGAGGAAGGCAGCAAAUCACACUGCCACGUGUGUACCUAUGCAACAAUUUGGCAUGUUCUUCACAUGUACCCCAAAACCUAAAAUGCAAUAAAAUAAAUAAAUGGGGGGGGGAAAGUUCAGCAUUAAGAGAAUAUUAAUUUCAGUGACUUCAUAAGUUUGACUGCAAUACAGUCAUUUAAAAUGUUUACAAAGAUUUGUUAGGAUCCAAAAUCAAUGUAAAAUAAGCUGAGGGGUGUAUGUGUGUAUGAUGUAAUAUGAACUGUGCAUGCCCAGAUACCUCCAAAUAUUUGAUUCUUCCUUCUGUAAAUACCCAAACAGAAUUGUUUGCAUCCCCAUGUACUAUACUGUGGGGAGUCCACCUUGCCGUGCUGUGAAGAUUCCAGGGGUCUACCUGAUUUCUGAUUCUCCUGAGUCAGUCCGUGCCACAGCCUGCCUUUCCACUGUCGCGCCCUCUCCUGGCUGUGGCCCCUGAUGCUCGUGGCUGUGAAAUCUCUUCCCAUACUCUCAUGAAUGAUGCCACCCACCUUUUUCUUUUUUCCUCCCAAAGCUUCACUAACACGUUACUGUGAAUUUUAGAAUUUCACUUAGUUUGAGAGUAGUAAAGGAUUAUCACUACUAGGGAGGUGUGAAGGUCUUCAGAUUCACUCUCUGAUGUGAAUCUAAUUUACUUCACUGCUCCUAGGAACUUGUCAGCUGUUUCCUGUGGUAAUGGUCUUGAAAAAUAGUCCCUCAUGGAUAUAUCACGUGCCCUUGUGUAGCUCCCACCUAUGCUGACUCUAGGCAAGCCCCUCGUAACCACCUGAAUGUGACAGAAGAGAUGGUGCUGCAUGACUUCCAAGGCCAGAUCAAAUAAGCCUUGCAGUUUCCACCUUGCUCUUUUGGAACGAAUGCAUCUAUACUGCCCUGAGAAAAGGGAGAGGAGCGGGGGAGAGGAGAGAAGAGGGGAGAGAAGAGAGGAAAUCCUGCCAAGCCAGGUGAGGCACCAGGCGUGUAAGUGAAUAAUUCAUUUUGGAGCUUUCAGACAAUGCCAGACAGCUCUGCAAGAGACCCCAAUUUAGGACCUCCCUGUAAACCUGCAGAGACAUAAGAAAUAAAUUUUGCCUAAUGCUACCAACUUCGGGGGCGGUUUGUUAUGAUAAUUAAAACAUUUGUUACCAGGGAAAUUUCCCAUUGUCUGUGGCCCUGGGCCAAGCCUUCUCUUCCCACAUCUGGCCCCUCCCCCAUAGAUGCCGGGACUUACCCCUGCUUGAGGUUAUCAACGAGCAAUUUCCCAAACUCCUUUUCACUUAGCCCUCUUUCUGUUUCACUUUCUCCUUUAAGACCACGUGGGAAGCAAGGUAGAGGUGAAUGCUUACAUUUCUCCUGGAUAAAAAAAAAAAGCCCAUUCAAGGCAUUUCCCAGAUAAAAGGAAAUCAACUUCUCUAAAGAUAAAUGUUGCCAUUCUCUUAAAAGGUUGCAGCAGCUGCAGUGACAGUUCUAAAUGCCACUCUUUCCCCUUCUUGCUACGUAUGUACAAACUGUACAGAAACAGGCAGGAUGAAAAUAUAACAAAACGUUAACAGAAAAUGCCUCUCAAGGAUUUCUUCCUACCUUAAAAGUACCUUUUAUUAUUUCAUUCUCAACAAAAUCAUUUUUAUAACACAGAUAUUUUAACAAAUAUAUUAACAAAUUUAGGUAAAGGCAGAAAGUGGCAUCGAAGUGUCACGAGCAAAGGCUGCUGGGGUGCAGGCCAAAUGCUGUGUUUGCUGCCGAGCCCCAGCCUCACGUGCCCACCCUCCCGCUUUCUUCUGUGCAGGCAGGGGCUGCCUCCCAUCUCAGUCACUUCUGUUGUCUGAGAUAGGGUCUCGCUCCUUCGCUCAGACUGGAAUACAGUGGCAUGAUCAUAGCUUACUACAGCCUUGAACUUUUGGGCCCAAGUGAUCCUUGCACCUCGCACCCCUCAAGAAGCUGGGACUACAGGCAUGUGCCACCAUACCUGGCUAAUUUUUCAAAACCUUAUGUAGAGAUGGGACUCACUCUGUUGCUCAGGCUGCUACCGCUGUCUUUACUAGCCCUUCUUGCUCCUCAUGCUUUGGCAUGUGAACCAAUCCCAGCCAGUGGGACCCCAGGUGAUAUCUGCUGAGAGGCUUCUGUGGAUGUACCUAAUAAAAAAAAGACAAAGGAGAGUCUCCUUUUCUUUGGCCAGAUGUUAUGUCUGCAAUGCUAGUAUCUGAAGCAACCAUGUGGAUCCCAUGAGAACAGCCUGAAGGCCAAGUCAGUGGCUGAGGUAGAAAGGCUGGCUCUUGAUGAUAUCAUUGAAUCACUGAACCAACCCUGUGACCACAGACUUCUUCCCCCUGCAUAUGUAAGUUAACCGCUAUGUGUUGUGUGUUACAGUGGAGGGCAUCCAAAUUGUAGGAACAUAAGAAACAGUUUUUCUCUCCCUGAGAGUCUAGGCCAGUGAUGAGUGGGGCUGAUGUGAAGAGAUAAGUCAAACCCAAUUUCUUAUGGGGCAGACAGAAAGCAGCUGGUCUGUGACAUGGGAGCUCCAUGUUCUGGGAUGCAUCUUGCUGGAGAAUGGAGCCCAGCCUGAGUGAGCAGCCCACACUGAUGGAUUGGGGGUAGAGGAAAUAAAAAAUGCCUUUUCUUCCUUGCUCCUCAGUAAGUGGUUGCCUUCCAUUUUCAGGCAGCAGAGUCUGAGUUCCCAUCUGCUGGGAACACAGAAAGGGGCAUGGCAAUGUAGUUACAAACCUGAAGAGUCUGUACAUCUCUCACUAAUCAAGCCAACACUGUGUGGAGCCAGGUCUUCCUAUUUGGAUGAAAAAGAGCGGACAGGGUCACAUUUGCUUGCCUUUUACUGCUCACUCAUUGAAUAGCAUUAGGAAAGGUUUACUUCAUGAACCUGGCACAAAGUAGGUUCCGUGCCUGAUGUUAACAUUCACUCUGCCCUCUUCACAAAUGAAAAGGUGGAAAAUUUCUGACUUCUGGUAAAUUCACAUUGAAAUGACUGUUUCUCGGGACACAGAUCCUGCAGUUCUUCCAUCUCUCCAGGCUGCUGUGAUUAUUUUUAAAAGUUUUUCAUGGUGUAAGGAGAAGAGCUGUUGAAAAGCUGUAAGUAGAGGUUAUUUUGGUGUUCAGAAAUCAAGUGAUAGUCAACUCUAUCUCAUAGCUCAAUGAAUGGUAGUAUUGGGAGAGAAAUUUAACUUUACUUUUGAAUUGAAUCCCUUUUUAUAUGUACCUUUAAAAACUUGCACAUUGAUGUUUUCUCCUCUAGUGAACCUUAGCAUAUAAACAAGGUAAUUUUUUUAAAAAGCAUUUUAUAUGUAGAGAUGAGCUUUUAUAUUUCUCAGACUUAAAUUUGAAAGCAGAGUAGGCAAUUGUUUUGCCUGCUUAACAAUCUCCUUUUCUUUCCUUUUUUUUUUUUUAAGGAGAUUUUAUUCUUUUUAAGAGACUGAGUCCACUAUAUUGACCAGGCUGGUCUCAAACUCCUGAGCUCAGGUGGUCCUCCUACCUUGGCCUCCCAAAAUGUAAGUAUUACUGGCAAGAGCCACUAUGUCUAGCCCCAACCUUUUCUAGAAAAUUCUGAGAAUUGUCUAAUCUACAAACUCCAUCUACAUAGUUAGUGCAAGUCACCACUACAAUAUGGCCCAAGCUAUGAGUCCAAACCCCUCUUCAGAUCAUAGAAUCCUGGAGAGAGUUUUCCUCUCUUUCAUUCUGUCUCCCUACCGUAUUUCUUCCUCCAUCUUGUGAAAACCUUUGCAGAUGGAUCUUCUGUUCUGAACACUUUUCUCCAAGGUGUGUCAUGCUUUGUUGCUGGAGUCUACAUCUAUGUAUAGCUAAUCUAACCCUUGUUACCUGAUAGUAAUUACUAUAUCAACUUUGUCGAUGUGUUACUAUAAAGGUGGGUAUAAGUUGUGUUAGGUUUACAAUAAACAUUUUUUGUUAUAUACAUUGUAUACAUGUUUAUCAAUUGCCUUGUUCUGAACCAGAGCCAGGCUUAUUCCCCUUCCAAAUGAAAACACCAGAGUCUCAAUACCUCCUGCCUCUUGCUUCUAUUAUGCUUUGGUCUUAUGCUCUACCCAUGACUUGUUUCUUUGCUUUCCACAUAGAACCCCAACUCAAGUUACUCCAACUCAAAAGCAUAGAUAAAUUAUAAAAUUCAAGAACAGAAAUUAGGAUGGAAAAUGAGUUUAACUUAAAGAAAAGAAUAGCAGCAGUCUCAUGUUUAAAGUCUAACAAUUUUAUGGGUUUAUUUUUGCUUUAAAUCUUGUCACCAUGAGUAAAUUUUUAGCUGUUCAUUUUUAUACAAUGACACAGGAUCAGAGAGAGCAUGAACACAUUAGUCUCUACAAGGCUAAUUCUACCCCAACACCCAUCAAAGCAACCCAAAUGACACGCCAUGCAUCUUGAGUGACCGUGCACUGCCACAUACUCUGAGCUCUACUACAGGUAAUGCUACACCAAAUUGACAUUGUAACUGUUUCAAAUGUCUCUUAGAGACAAAUAUAGAACAGUAGGUAUAAUAACCUCUGAAAACUUCCAGGAGUAAUGAGGUUUUGCCAAGGCUUGUUGUAUUUUUCAUGGAUAGUUGUCAGGAAAUAACUUACCAGAAAGCCCAAUUGAUUUGACAGUCAUUUUGACCUGUGAUUUAUUUAUUAAAUACAAUUUGAAGAUUCCUAAAAGAAAAAUUGCUAAUAAAUCAUAGAUCCUGUAUCUUUUUAUAAACAAUCCCUUGUGAUUUUUGAAGUUGCAAGAAAAUGCUGACAGAAAAAUUUUUAUGAUGUUGAAAUAGGUAUAAAUAAAAGCUUAUACAAAGCCACUGUCUCAACAUCAGCAGGAUAAGAGAUAAGAACUUCUGAGAUAUUAUACUGUUCCCCCAAAAAACACUACUGUUUUUUUUCCUUCCCCUUUCUCUUUCCCCACCCUGUCCUUUCCUCCUUUCUAUCCUUAAUAACUGAGCUCCUCCUACGGUUUUAAUGUUACUAAAUCAGAAACUGGCUUUGUUUCAUUUGAAUUUCCUUUUAUAUGUUCUCAUGAUUGAAAACAAAAGAAUAAAAACCCUACUUCUGAUCACAAUGAGAUCUUUACCAUCACUAAGCAUUUACUCUCUAGUAUAUGAAAUAUAUGAAUUAUUCUAAUUCAAUAGGAUUCUAAGGCAAUUUGGCAAUAGCUAGUAUUAAUUUGGAUUAAAAAAAGCCGUUGGUAUAAACAGAAAGAGAUGUGUAGGGGAAAUAAGCAGGCAGGCAAAUAAUUUAGAAAGAAGAGACAGCUUCUGUGGUUAAAAAUAAAAGUCUGGGAUUUAGUUUUUCUUUGCCAUACAGAAAACAGAUGUUGCUAUUUUUGUUCAAAAUAAAAAACUUAAAUUCCAUGAUUAGACUCUGGAAUAUGUAAAGUAACUAUGGAUACCAAAUUUAUGAUUUAAAAAAUCUGACAUUUAGUUUUCUGUUCAUAUUUGAAAUCAGGAAAUAAUCGUGCUCCUGAAAUGCCAACUUUCUAUAUAGCAAAUUCACUGAUUUAUACACUCAGGAACACUGAAGAUACUCUCAGUCCUGGCCUGUCUUUGGGGGCAUAAGGUUGUUACACUAUAUAGUCUGUUGUGAACAAAAAUAAAAAUAGGACAUUGAGAGAUGUUUUUGCUCUUCCCAUUUCUCCUUUUCUAUAAUUCUCUUCUUCCCCCCAGAAAGAUCCUGAAGGGAGAGACAACCUGGCUUUCACCCUCCACUGGGACAGUACUACCCCCGUCUUGGUCCCCAGAGGCUCCAUGUCUCACUUCCCAUGCCAUCCUUGAGAAACUAGGCUGCCCAUGAGAAUGCUGAGACAUUAUCAAAUAUAUUUCAAUUCUAUGACCUGAAUUGCAGUUGUGUAAGUGCUAUAAAUCAAAAUCAUUUGCUUUAAUAAUUGAAGAGUAAACUGAAAGACAAUACUGUAGAUGUUAAUGUUUCAAUGUGAACAUGUAUUUCAGAUAAAUUAAAAAGAACAAACACUGCUUUCUAGAAUAGAAGCAAAAGUUAUGGGUUUUCUCCAUGGUCAUAUUUUAUUCAUUAUUCUACUUUCUGCACACUGUAUAUGCUUGAGAUAAAACAAUAAUCAAAACGAUAAAUACAUAAAGACUGUUUAGUUGCAGUCUAGGAGCCUAAAUAAGAGCAGUAUUCUUGCUUAAUGACCCAUGGUUCUAGCUUUUCCCCACGCAGCAGGAUUUAUACCUUUUCAUUAUUACACGAAGAAGUCACCAUUUGUCCUAAGAUAUAUUAAGACAAACGGGAAUUUAAAACUUAUA